AUUGAACGCUGGCGGCAUGCCUUACACAUGCAAGUCGAACGGCAGCAUGGGUGCUUGCACCUGAUGGCGAGUGGCGAACGGGUGAGUAAAGCAUCGGAACGUACCCGGAAGUGGGGGAUAACGUAGCGAAAGUUACGCUAAUACCGCAUAUUCUGUGAGCAGGAAAGCAGGGGCUCGUAAGACCUUGCGCUUUCGGAGCGGCCGAUGUCGGAUUAGCUAGUUGGUGAGGUAAAGGCUCACCAAGGCGACGAUCCGUAGCGGGUCUGAGAGGAUGAUCCGCCACACUGGGACUGGGACACGGCCCAGACUCCUACGGGAGGCAGCAGUGGGGAAUUUUGGACAAUGGGCGGAAGCCUGAUCCAGCCAUGCCGCGUGAGUGAAGAAGGCCUUCGGGUUGUAAAGCUCUUUUGUCAGGGAAGAAAUAGCUUGGGUUAAUACCCUGGGCGGAUGACGGUACCUGAAGAAUAAGCACCGGCUAACUACGUGCCAGCAGCCGCCGUAA
rnacentral:rRNA from 1 species